rnacentral:tRNA from 1 species
GGGGAUUUAGCUCAGUGGUAGAGCGCUUGCCUAGCAAGUUCAGUCCCCA